GGAGGAAUAUUGCACAACGGGGGGAACCCAGGUGCAGCAACGCCGCGUGAGUGAAGAAGGCCUUCGGGUUGUAAAACUCUUUUCUGAGGGAUGAGGAAGGACAGUACCUCAGGAAUAAGUCUCGGCUAACUACGUGCCAGCAGCCGCGGUAAGACGUAGGAGGCGAGCGUUAUCCAGAUUUACUGGGCGUAAAGGGCAAGUAGGCGGCAUAACAAGUCAGUUGUGACAGAUCCCGGCUCAACGGGGAGAGGACGAAGGAGAGUGUUAAUCUAGAGGACAGGAGAGGGGAGCGGAAUUCCUUGUGUAGCGGUGGAAUGCUCAGAUACAAGGAAGAACACCAGUGGCGAAGGCGGCUCUCUGGCCUGAUCCUGACGCUGAAGAGCGAAAGCUAGGGGAGCGAACG
rnacentral:rRNA from 1 species